GCCUUCGUGGUGUAGUGGUCAGCGCGCUCGACGCGUAACCGAGAGGUCCGUGGUUCGAUUCUCGGAGAAGGCG
rfam:Stegodyphus mimosarum contig88493, whole genome shotgun sequence.